rnacentral:rRNA from 1 species
UGGGGAAUCUUGCACAAUGGGGGCAACCCUGAUGCAGCGACGCCGCGUGAGCGAUGAAGCCCUUCGGGGCAUAAAGCUCUUUCGACCGGAACGAUAAUGACGGUACCGGGAGAAGAAGCUGCGGCUAACUACGUGCCAGCAGCCGCGGUAAUACGUAGGCAGCAAGCGUUGUUCGGAGUUACUGGGCGUAAAGAGUGCGUAGGCGGUUUUCUAAGUUCGGUGUGAAAUCUCCCGGCUUAACUGGGAGGGUGCGCCGAAGACUGGGAAGCUGGAGUGUGGAAAAGGCAGGCGGAAUUCCUGGUGUAGCGGUGAAAUGCGUAGAUAUCAGGAGGAACACCGGCGGUGUAGACGGCUUGCUAGACCAUAACUGACGCUGAGGCACGAAAGCGUGGGUAGCAAACA